UGCCUGAAGAUAGUGCACGAGAUCCUGAGUGACCUGCAGCUUGGGGAUUUUGUCAUUAAGGUCAACGAUCGGCGCAUCCUUGAUGGGAUGUUUGCAGUUUGUGGUGUCCCGGACAGCAAGUUCCGAACAAUCUGCUCCAGUGUUGACAAACUGGAUAAGGUGCCCUGGGAAGAUGUGAAGAAUGAGAUGGUAGGAGAGAAGGAGCUCUCUCCUGAGGCUGCGGAUCGCAUUGGGGAGUACGU